rnacentral:rRNA from 1 species
UACGAAGGGGGCUAGCGUUGCUCGGAAUCACUGGGCGUAAAGGGUGCGUAGGCGGGUCUUUAAGUCAGGGGUGAAAUCCCAAGGCUCAACCUUGGAACUGCCUUUGAUACUGGGAAUCUUGAGUCCGGGAGAGGUGAGUGGAACUGCGAGUGUAGAGGUGAAAUUCGUAGAUAUUCGCAAGAACACCAGUGGCGAAGGCGGCUCACUGGCCCGGUACUGACGCUGAGGCACGAAAGCGUGGGGAGCAAACAGG